AUUGAACGCUGGCGGCAUGCCUUACACAUGCAAGUCGAACGGUAACGGGCCUUCGGGUGCCGACGAGUGGCGAACGGGUGAGUAAUGUAUCGGAACGUACCUUUCAGUGGGGGAUAACGUAGCGAAAGUUACGCUAAUACCGCAUAUUCUGUGAGCAGGAAAGCAGGGGAUCGCAAGACCUUGCGCUGAUUGAGCGGCCGAUAUCAGAUUAGCUAGUUGGUGAGGUAAAGGCUCACCAAGGCGACGAUCUGUAGCGGGUCUGAGAGGAUGAUCCGCCACACUGGAACUGAGACACGGUCCAGACUCCUACGGGAGGCAGCAGUGGGGAAUUUUGGACAAUGGGGGCAACCCUGAUCCAGCCAUGCCGCGUGAGUGAAGAAGGCCUUCGGGUUGUAAACUUCUUUGAUGAGGGACGAAGGAAGUGACGGUACCUCAAAACAAGACCACGGCUAACUACGUGCCAGCAGCCGCGGUAAGCUCGUCUCUA
rnacentral:rRNA from 1 species